UACGUAGGGUGCAAGCGUUGUCCGGAAUUAUUGGGCGUAAAGAGCUCGUAGGCGGUUUGCUGCGUCGGCUGUGAAAUCCCGAGGCUCAACCUCGGGUCUGCAGUCGAUACGAGCAAACUAGAGUGUUGCAGGGGAGACUGGAAUUCCUGGUGUAGCGGUGAAAUGCGCAGAUAUCAGGAGGAACACCGGUGGCGAAGGCGGGUCUCUGGGCCGAUACUGACGCUGAGGAGCGAAAGCGUGGGGAGCGAACAGG
rnacentral:rRNA from 1 species